AUGGCACACGUCCCUCUGCAUCCCUUACCCUCACACCGAGCCAUGGCACACGUCCCUCUGCAUCCCUUACCCUCACACCGAGCCAUGGCACACGUCCCUCUGCAUCCCUUACCCUCACACCGAGCCAUGGCACACGUCCCUCUGCAUCCCUUACCCUCACACCGAGCCAUGGCACACGUCCCUCUGCAUCCCUUACCCUCACACCGAGCCAUGGCACACGUCCCUCUGCAUCCCUUACCCUCACACCGAGCCAUGGCACACGUCCCUCUGCAUCCCUUACCCUCACACCGAGCCAUGGCACACGUCCCUCUGCAUCCCUUACCCUCACACCGAGCCAUGGCACACGUCCCUCUGCAUCCCUUACCCUCACACCGAGCCAUGGCACACGUCCCUCUGCAUCCCUUACCCUCACACCGAGCCAUGGCACACGUCCCUCUGCAUCCCUUACCCUCACACCGAGCCAUGGCACACGUCCCUCUGCAUCCCUUACCCUCACACCGAGCCAUGGCACACGUCCCUCUGCAUCCCUUACCCUCACACCGAGCCAUGGCACACGUCCCUCUGCAUCCCUUACCCUCACACCGAGCCAUGGCACACGUCCCUCUGCAUCCCUUACCCUCACACCGAGCCAUGGCACACGUCCCUCUGCAUCCCUUACCCUCACACCGAGCCAUGGCACACGUCCCUCUGCAUCCCUUACCCUCACACCGAGCCAUGGCACACGUCCCUCUGCAUCCCUUACCCUCACACCGAGCCAUGGCACACGUCCCUCUGCAUCCCUUACCCUCACACGGAGCCAUGGCACACGUCCCUCUGCGUCCCUUACCCUCACACCGAGCCAUGGCACACGUCCCUCUGCAUCCCUUACCCUCACACGGAGCCAUGGCACACGUCCCUCUGCAUCCCUUACCCUCACACGGAGCCAUGGCACACGUCCCUCUGCAUCCCUUACCCUCACACGGAGCCAUGGCACACGUCCCUCUGCAUCCCUUACCCUCACACGGAGCCAUGGCACACGUCCCUCUGCAUCCCUUACCCUCACACGGAGCCAUGGCACACGUCCCUCUGCAUCCCUUACCCUCACACGGAGCCAUGGCACACGUCCCUCUGCAUCCCUUACCCUCACACGGAGCCAUGGCACACGUCCCUCUGCAUCCCUUACCCUCACACGGAGCCAUGGCACACGUCCCUCUGCAUCCCUUACCCUCACACGGAGCCAUGGCACACGUCCCUCUGCAUCCCUUACCCUCACACGGAGCCAUGGCACACGUCCCUCUGCAUCCCUUACCCUCACACGGAGCCAUGGCACACGUCCCUCUGCAUCCCUUACCCUCACACGGAGCCAUGGCACACGUCCCUCUGCAUCCCUUACCCUCACACGGAGCCAUGGCACACGUCCCUCUGCAUCCCUUACCCUCACACGGAGCCAUGGCACACGUCCCUCUGCAUCCCUUACCCUCACACGGAGCCAUGGCACACGUCCCUCUGCAUCCCUUACCCUCACACGGAGCCAUGGCACACGUCCCUCUGCAUCCCUUACCCUCACACGGAGCCAUGGCACACGUCCCUCUGCAUCCCUUACCCUCACACGGAGCCAUGGCACACGUCCCUCUGCAUCCCUUACCCUCACACGGAGCCAUGGCACACGUCCCUCUGUGUCCCUUACCCUCACACCGAGCCAUGGCACACGUCCUUCUGCAUCCCCCACCCUCACACGGAGCCAUGGCACGCGUCCCUCUGUGUCACCUGCACUGA
ensembl:lncRNA